rnacentral:rRNA from 1 species
CGGCAACAGCUCAAAUUUGAAAGCUGGCCUUCGGGUCCGCAUUGUAAUUUGUAGAGGAUGCUUUGGGUGAAACGCCAGUCUAAGUUCCUUGGAACAGGACGUCAUAGAGGGUGAGAAUCCCGUAUGUGACUGGAAAUGUUAACCUAUGUAAAGCUCCUUCGACGAGUCGAGUUGUUUGGGAAUGCAGCUCUAAAUGGGAGGUAAAUUUCUUCUAAAGCUAAAUAUUGGCGAGAGACCGAUAGCGCACAAGUAGAGUGAUCGAAAGAUGAAAAGCACUUUGGAAAGAGAGUUAAAAAGCACGUGAAAUUGUUGAAAGGGAAGCGCUUGCAAUCAGACUUGUUUAAACUGUUCGGCCGGUCUUCUGACCGGUUUACUCAGUUUGGACAGGCCAGCAUCAGUUUCGGCGGCCGGAUAAAGGCUCUGGGAAUGUGGCCUUCACUUCGGUGAAGGUGUUAUAGCCCAGGGUGUAAUACGGCCAGCCGGGACUGAGGUCCGCGCUUCGGCUAGGAUGCUGGCGUAAUGGUUGUAAGCGACCCGUCUUGAAACACGGACCAAGGAGUCUAACAUCUAUGCGAGUGUUCGGGUG